GGAAAAGAGGAGCUAAUACUCAAAAGGAAACACUAUAUUUGCCCCUUCUGAAGGGCCUCAACAGUGUUCGAGAUGAGACUUACAUCUUUGUUGACGAGCUCUUGAAUUUUGGAUAUAAGAGGGUUGAUCAUAGUGGAAGCAAUGGAUGUAGGUGUCUCAUCCCCUUUUUUGGUAUUGAAUUAUUUUUUAAAAGUCUUAGUGAUUUUUAUGCCUUUGUUGAUACCAAGUCGAUCUGGCGAUUU
rnacentral:lncRNA from 1 species